rnacentral:lncRNA from 1 species
AACUAAGGCCAAGCAACGAAUAAAUGAAAGAUGGUGGAACAAAAAAAAAAUCAUGGUUUUUGAAUUUAACUUGGAAAAUACAAAGCCGUAUAGCUAUCCGAAGCUAAACUCAAAUGAACAAAAGUCUAUAUUAUUGAUCAUGGGGAAAUAAACUUAUGCAAACCAUGAGAACUGAAAUAAUCUUGAAGGAUACACAAGAUAUAUGUCAUUAAAGGCUACAAUUCAUAAUGAAACGGACCUAACAUACUAAGAAAAACAGACUUCAUGCUAAAAUAUAUAUUAUCGGAGAUAAACAGGACAAGAGUGGCAAUUCACUGCCUUACACAAAACUUUAAGAACGAACAUAUGAUAGUUCUAAUACAAACUUGAGACAAAGACCUCUAAUUCUAAGCCGCUACGGAGGGAUAAAAGAGCGAAAUGACUUCAAUACAUGCCGGAAAAGAAGAGAGAUCCCCAGAAAAUAAAAGACGAUAGAUAAAAGAGACGGGGAACCUCAACU